GGGCGCUUGGUCUAGGGGUAGUAAGUUCACCUUGUGUCAGGUGGCUACAGUUGGUCCUAACAAAAUCACCAGUGAUUUUCGUUUCGCAUGCGCUCCAGCAUUGUCUAUGAAAGGUCGUGGGUUCAAUUCCCACAGCGUCCA